ACUCCUACGGGAGGCAGCAGUGGGGAAUUUUGCGCAAUGGGCGAAAGCCUGACGCAGCAACGCCGCGUGAGUGAUGAAGGCCCUUGGGUCGUAAAGCUCUGACAGAGGGAAAGAAAUGCAGGGGAGCUAAUAUCUCCUUUGCUUGACGGUACCCUCAAAGGAAGCACCGGCUAACUCCGUGCCAGCAGCCGCGGUAAUACGGGGGGUGCAAGCGUUGUUCGGAUUUAUUGGGCGUAAAGCGCGUGUAGGCGGUUUGGUAAGUCUGAUGUGAAAGCCCUGGGCUCAACCCGGGAAGUGCAUUGGAUACUGGCAAACUUGAAUACGGGAGAGGGUAGUGGAAUUCCUGGUGUAGGAGUGAAAUCCGUAGAUAUCAGGAGGAACACCGGUGGCGAAGGCGGCUACCUGGACCGAUAUUGACGCUGAGACGCGAAAGCGUGGGUAGCAAACAGGAUUAGAUACCCUGGUAGUCCACGCCGUAAACGAUGAGAACUAGGUGUCGCGGGUA
rnacentral:rRNA from 1 species